AUUGAACGCUGGCGGAAUGCUUUACACAUGCAAGUCGAACGAUGAAGCCUAGCUUGCUAGGUCGAUUAGUGGCGAACGGGUGAGUAAUAUAUCGGAACGUAUCCAAUAAUGGGGGAUAACUAGUCGAAAGAUUGGCUAAUACCGCAUACGUCCUACGGGAGAAAGCUGGGGGUCGUAAGACCUGGCGUUAAUGGAGCGGCCGAUAUCUGAUUAGCUAGUUGGUGAGGUAAAGGCUCACCAAGGCGACGAUCAGUAGCUGGUCUGAGAGGACGACCAGCCACACUGGAACUGCGACACGCUCCAGACUCCUACGGGAGGCGGCAUUGGGGAAUUUUGGGCAAUGGGCGAAAGCCUGUUCCAGCCAUACCGCGUGAGUGAAAAAGGCCUUCGGGUUGUAAAGCUCUUUCUCAAGGGAAGAACACUUACUUAAUGACACUUAGUGAGGUUGACGGUACCUUGAUAAGAAGCACCGGCUAACUACGUGCCAGCAGCCGCAGUAA
rnacentral:rRNA from 1 species